UACGUAGGGUGCAAGCGUUGUCCGGAAUUAUUGGGCGUAAAGAGCUCGUAGGCGGUUCGUCGCGUCGGCUGUGAAAUCCCGAGGCUCAACCUCGGGUCUGCAGUCGAUACGGGCGGACUGGAGUUCGGCAGGGGAGACUGGAAUUCCUGGUGUAGCGGUGAAAUGCGUAGAUAUCUGGAGGAACACCGGUGGCGAAGGCGACAUCCUGGACCGGUAUUGACGCUGAGGCGCGAAAGCCAGGGGAGCAAACGGG
rnacentral:rRNA from 1 species